GUUGGCUUAGAAGCAGCCAUCCUUUAAAGAGUGCGUAAUAGCUCACUAGUCGAGUGACCCUGCGCCGAAAAUGUACCGGGGCUAAAACAUAUUACCGAAGCUGUGGAUACCUUUAUAGGUAUGGUAGGAGAGCGUUCUAUGUGCGAAGAAGGUGUACCGUGAGGAGUGCUGGAGCGCAUAGAAGUGAGAAUGCCGGUAUGAGUAGCGAAAGACAGGUGAGAAUCCUGUCCACCGUAAGACUAAGGUUUCCAGGGGAAGGCUCGUCCGCCCUGGGUUAGUCGGGACCUAAGGAGAGACCGAAAGGUGUAUCCGAUGGACAACAGGUUGAUAUUCCUGUACUAGAGUAUAUAGUGAUGGAGGGACGCAGUAGGCUAACUAAACCAGACGAUUGGAAGUGUCUGGCCAAGCAGUGAGGUGUGAUAUGAGUCAAAUGCUUAUAUCUAUAACAUUGAGCUGUGAUGGGGAGCGAAGUUUAGUAGCGAAGUUAGUGAUGUCACACUGCCGAGAAAAGCUUCUAGCGUUAAUUAUACUCUACCCGUACCGCAAACCGACACAGGUAGUCGAGGCGAGUAGCCUCAGGUGAGCGAGAGAACUCUCGUUAAGGAACUCGGCAAAAUGGCCCCGUAACUUCGGGAGAAGGGGCGCUGACUUAUGGUCAGCCGCAGUGAAUAGGCCCAAGCAACUGUUUAUCAAAAACACAGCUCUCUGCUAAAUCGUAAGAUGAUGUAUAGGGGGUGACGCCUGCCCGGUGCUGGAAGGUUAAGAGGAGUGCUUAGCAAUAGCGAAGGUAUGAAUUGAAGCCCCAGUAAACGGCGGCCGUAACUAUAACGGUCCUAAGGUAGCGAAAUUCCUUGUCGGGUAAGUUCCGACCCGCACGAAAGGCGUAAUGAUUUGGGCACUGUCUCAACGAGAGACUCGGUGAAAUUUUAGUACCUGUGAAGAUGCAGGUUACCCGCGACAGGACGGAAAGACCCCAUGGAGCUUUACUGCAGUUUGAUAUUGAGUAUCUGUACCACAUGUACAGGAUAGGUAGGAGCCUAUGACCUCGGGACGCCAGUUUCGAGUGAGGCGUUGUUGGGAUACUACCCUUGUGUUAUGGCUACUCUAACCCAGAUAGGUUAUCCCUAUCGGAGACAGUGUCUGACGGGCAGUUUGACUGGGGCGGUCGCCUCCUAAAAGGUAACGGAGGCGCCCAAAGGUUCCCUCAGAAUGGUUGGAAAUCAUUCGCAGAGUGUAAAGGUAUAAGGGAGCUUGACUGCGAGAGCUACAACUCGAGCAGGGACGAAAGUCGGGCUUAGUGAUCCGGUGGUUCCGCAUGGAAGGGCCAUCGCUCAACGGAUAAAAGCUACCCUGGGGAUAACAGGCUUAUCUCCCCCAAGAGUUCACAUCGACGGGGAGGUUUGGCACCUCGAUGUCGGCUCAUCGCAUCCUGGAGCUGAAGUCGGUUCCAAGGGUUGGGCUGUUCGCCCAUUAAAGCGGUACGCGAGCUGGGUUCAGAACGU
rnacentral:rRNA from 1 species